rnacentral:lncRNA from 1 species
AAUAAAUGCAAGGCUAUAUUCCCUAAGUUCACUCAUGAAAACCAGGAAUAGUCCAGGGCCACAAUGAACAUAAUAGAGAACUAAGUUCUACGAGAAAAUGAAGCUACGUUACGCAUGUUGUCUCGGUCUACAUAAAACACUGGUUGGUUCAAGACAUCAUGUUCACCUUCUGGUAAAGUAAACCCGACAGAUAUUAACUAUGAGUGGUUCAAGGCUUAAAAAUGCCACCAACUCAAACACAGUGAAUUUUCACAAACACUCUCGAUAAGUCUGUCUAGUCUAGUCAGGAUUAGAAUAAGUAUAGUUUUUAGAGUCUAUCGAGUCUGCAUUCAGUCUACAUAUAUUUACAAGAGUAAUUUCUAUUCAUGUGGGGGAUUGUUGGGCCUAAUUAUUAAGCCUAAUGGUUCAAAUAAUAUAUGGCAAAAUGUGAAAAUGAAAUGGGCCUACGGGUUCUUAUAAAAAGCCUUGUUGGUUUUAAUGAAAUGAAGUUAACAACAUCCCACAUCGGUUGGGAGAGUUGAUUUUAAGGAGUAUAUAUAUGUCUUCAUGACAUGAGAGGUUAAACGGCUCGGCUCGGCGUGGGCUUGGGUCUUGGGUCUUGGGUCUUGGGUCUUGGUGGAGGGCCUCCGGCCCAAUAAGACUAUUAUUUUUGGAC